rnacentral:misc_RNA from 1 species
GAAAUGCGAUAAGUAAUGUGAAUUGCAGAAUUCCGUGAAUCAUCGAAUCUUUGAACGCACAUUGCGCCCUCUGGCAUUCCGGGGGGCAUGCCUGUCCGAGCGUCAUUACGCACCCUCAAGCCCGGCUUGUGUGAUGGGCCCUGGCGUCUCGUUCGCGAGACGGGCCCGAAAGGCAGCGGCGGCGUCGACCCGAUGGGCCCGAGCGUAUGGGGACUUUUGUCACACGUUUGCGGUGCGGACCGGCGCCUGCUUGACUUUUCUGAUUAUCCAGGUUGACCUCGGAUCAGGUAGGGAUACCCGCUGAACUUAAGC